GGCAGUGUAGCUUAGUGGUAAGGAGCAGGGUUUGUAACCAAGAGGUUGCUGGUUUGAUUCCAUGCUGGGGCACUGCCA